GGAAUAAAAAAGGAAUCGUUUCAGUCAUAAAUUCUUAAGCAAAUUAAUUAAAUUAUUAGAUUAUUAUUGCACAUUAGCUAUUAUUAGAUAGUUAGCUAAUAAUUACCUCUUGGAUGCAAGGGAAAUUAGCUUGUGUCAUUCCAGCUGUCUAGUUUUUUUAGGCUGUUGUUUUUUUCCCCGGUUUGUUCUUUGCAAUAAUUUUCCUUUUUUUUUUUUUUUUGAUUUUCCUUUACAGCGCUGCAUAUUAUAUGAUUUGGAUUUUUGAUUCAAUUUUAAUUACACAUGCCUCUUUACUAUACUUGAUUGUGUAUAUUAUCAUUUGCUGAUUUAAAUGUCUUUUAAUGUCAGUUUUUAUUACCUUUUGUCAAUAUGCUCGGAAAAUGAGACUCCGGUCUCAGUAGGGCUUUUCUGAUUAAUAACAACUGAAUGAAUAUGCUAGGCAGGUCCUCCGUAUUAUUAUAAAUCCAGUUCCCAAGAAUAUGGCCUGCUACCCCAAAGCACCCACUAAUAAAACAGUCCUGGUGCCGCUGCUGAUGCUUAUUAACAGUUAGACAGGAGGCAAUUAAAAACUGCUCCCUGCUGUAUUUGUAUUGCAGAUAAUUAUGAAAAGGUGUUGUGUUUAAACACAUGGUCGUGGAGAAAAAAAGGAACAUAUAUAUACAGUAUGUAAAUCAUCAAUCAAUUACCUGUACAUAAAUCAUCCACUCCCCCCUGUAUAUAUCAGCUUUAUAUAGCUUUAUAUCUAUUCAUUUAUUGUAACUAUACCACUUUGCACUUCUGGUUAGAGGCUAACUGAAUUUCAUUGGCUUUGCACAAUGACAGUAAAGUUCUGUAAAUCUAAUCUAAUCUAAUUGAUGGGGUACUUUAGCAAAACUCCUGAGGUUAGAAGACUCUUUGAUACUUAUAGUUUUUAAGGUUGUUGUGUAGGAAAUUUAAGACACAUGGGGCUUACGAAAAAAGAGAAAUCUACAGAGAUGGAAGGAUUAAGAUCAAAAAGAUUGCAAUAACCAACGAAAGGAAACUCCCAAGUAACAAACAUGUGUUCGCCAUAUUGUUGGGAUAUUGUAAGGUUAAACACGGAAAAAUUCUGAUCUCUGGGAACUAGCUGCAACGCUAGUUAGAGCAAAUGUUCAAAAUAGUGGAAGUAUUAAUCGAUUGCUACUGUAGAGAGAGAGAGUCCUAACAAACAGCAUACUGAGGGGAACAUGUUAGUAAAAGACACUAAGAGACAGACAUGGAAAGAAAAGUACAUGAAGACAUUUUGCUUUUGAUGUAAGCGGACAAGUUUUUGGGCCGCAUCCUAGAGGAUGGAGGAAAUGGGGUAAAAAGCUCUGAGCAAGAGGUAAUCAUAGACAUCAAUGGCCUUUAAAACCUAGGGCAGACCUUGGGCAGCAUCCAAUAAAAAUAUAUAUAAGAUUAGUUCUAGAAUGAAAGCAGGAAGCAUGAAGGGAGGAAAGAGUGAGAUCAGAAGUUUCCUGGGGAAAAAAAAAAUCUUCAGGCCAAUUACUUAAUGGAGCAAGGGUAUGAAGAGAGUAGCGGAAGGAAAGACAGAAUGAAAAUAGAGCAGAGAGUGAGAAGUUGAAAGAGGAUGGAUGACAUGACACUUGAACACAUCACAUUGCCUUCACAUGUUCACGUCAGUUCAGAGUGUUAGGUACAGAGGUGGACAGUAAUGAAGUACAUUCACUUGAGAACUGUACUUAAGUACACUUUUUCUGGAAACUUGUUACUUUAACUUCACUACAUUCUACAUUUCACUACAAGCUCUUAACUCCACAAUUACUACAAACGGGUCACUAGGUUGCUACAAAAAGUACUGUAAAUAUUGUAUACAAUAAUGCAACAAUGACAAAACAAUGCAUUGACAUUUACUUUUUAAGUACUUCUGUACUUUUACUUAAGGAAAAAAUCUGUCUUUUACUUGUAAUGGAGUAUUGUUUGACCAGUAGUAUCUGUACUUUCACUCAAGUUUUGUACUUUGUCCACCUCUGGUUAGGUACGAUCAUGAAGAGGGCAUACAAUAAUGAGGAGGGUGAGAGGGAGAAGAUGUCCACUUUAGAAGACAAAGAGUGACCUUUCCUUGUUCCUAAAAAAAAAAAAUAGACACCAUUUUUACAGAAAAGACUUCACGCCAUCACCAAAAUCAUCCAGCUCUUUUAGGAAUAAUACAUGCUUAAAAAUAUCAACCUGACAAUGUUUUCAUUGUUAACACUUAGGAACGUCAGAGGCAUCUUUAAAAAAAACAACAAAAAAAACUAAAUACCCUUGGCCAGAAUUUAACUGAUGAUCAUUAUGAUGAAGAGACUUUAAUAAAUCAGUUAUGGCAAGAUGUUAAUGAGUGAUAUUUCACUGAUAUUGUUAUUAGAUUUUCAUCCACAUUAAUCUGCUUAGUGUAGGUGCAUUAAUUCUUUUCAUAUUAGUAGAGGAAGCCAGCUGUCGAGAAGUCCCCCUCGCAGCAUGUGGCAUGUUUCCCAGUGUGGGGUGUGCUGCUGGCGCUGAUUCUCUAUACACUGUGUGCUUUUGUUUUAUCAUGUGCCUUUGUUUUUGUUCUAGUCCCGUCUCCUCCCUUGUCCUGUCAUUGGUCUGUUGUCUAAUAUACACCUGUGUGCCUGUUCUGAAUUCUGAGCUCAUUGUUUCCAAGUCCUAUUGUGCAUCUUUGUUGUUCAAUGCUGUCAAGCUUUGCUUCCUGUUACAACUUUUGCAACGUCCUUUUCCUGAUUUAUUAAUAUGGAUAUUUAUGUUGCCUAUGAAUAUUUGAUGUUGCCUCCUGGUGCUCGGACCACAGCUACCAACUUUUAGAAUGCGUGGAUUACAUUAAAUGUAACAUGCUGAGUCACACUUGUGGCCUGGCUUAAUGAAGCUCAUGUUACAUCAGCAACAAACUGCUUGUCCAUCAUCAGACUGGUCGAGACAGCAUGGUCCAGCUUGCAAUCUACAAGAAAAUAAUCAGUGACAGGGUGCUGUGAUUGAUCCCAACAAGAAACAAGAGUUACCACUCCAAGCUAUAGGCUUAGAAAACCAUGAGGCUGUGACAGAUUCUCUGGGACUGAGAAGCACAGAGCCUUUCUCGUUGGGACUUGCAGCCAUAGAGACCAUGCUGUCUUCUUCAGAAGUGAAGCCAAACCUCCUUUAUUUGAACUCUUGUAUACUGUGACCACUGCUCUUUAAUGGGUACUGAUAUACGCAGAGGCCACACUUCCUUGACGGGCACAAAGGCCAUGACUUUUCUACCGGGACUGAUUGGCAAAGCAGGCAUGCUUCUUUCACCAGGACUGAGAGGCAUAAUAGCCAAGCCACGCCUCCAUCACUUGGACUGACAGAUGCAGAAUCCAUGAUAGUAUUUCACAAAUAAUAAAAAAAAAAGUCUUGAAUGUUGCAAAUACAGAUUAUACUCGCUUUGCUAUCCUGUAAAUCUGAAUCCAGCUUGCAGUCGUUGUUUGCUCGUGGAUUCAGGUUGAUACAGUAGGCACUAGCGACGAAUGCUGGCCAGCAAGAACCUCCAUGCCUUCCCAAGUUCAUCCUUCGCAGACCUGCUGACGGCUGUCAUACACACUUUUUUGAGCUGAGGUAAUUAUAAGAUGACGCACAAUAUAAGUUAAUUACCUGCCAUGAGAGCUCACAGAUCUAUCAUGCCCGGGUGAAGGAGUGUAAAAAGGCUUCAUCAGACACAGCUGGAUGGUUAACAAAGGAUAUGAGGAGCGAUAAUUGCUCAGAUAAAGAAAUGAUUCCUGUGCUCAAUAUGUAGAACCGUAUUCACUCAGAUUAGCUCUCCACAUGACACUGUGGUAGCUCUUCUUUCCAGGUGAUGCUAGCAAUUUUAUUUCUGUCAGCUCAGCAGUGUUGAUGUUUUUCCAUUUCCUUUCACCCUGUGAAUAUAUACUUUAAACUGAAUGCAGUUUCUCUGUAAUUGCAGUCACGCAGACAUGAGUGCUAAAAUCUUUUGCACCCAGCGACCCCUUUCACUCGAAAAACCGCAGAGCCCAUUAAUACUGUGUUUUAUGAAUUGUUCAAAUAGUACGCUUAUUAAUGAAAUACAUACAAUCUGAUUGGUCAGAAGGUCUUGAUGAACUUUCUCUAAUAGCAGCUCUGACUACAACGCUGGCUGAUAUUCAAAUCUUUUUUAAUUUCAACAUUUUAUGCACAAUUGAUCUACUUGUUUAUAUUUUCUUUAGUAAUGACUCUAUUUUCUCUUAAGAUCAAGACAAAGAAAAAGGAGAGGAUGUUAGUGCUGUUAUCAUAGUGGGUUUGUAUAAUAUGUAAAAGUAGUAUAAAUGGUUAAAAUAUGAUGUCUUGUUCAUCAAUAAAUUAAAAAAAAAAAAUCAAAUUGCUGUGGUAUAAUAGCACACCCAGUCUUGUUUUAUUCCAUACAUGACU